GCGCCAUUAGUCUAGUGGUUAGGAUAUUCGCUUCCCAUCUCCUCUUGGAUCAGCGAGGGACCCGAGUUCGAAUCUCGGAUGGCGCA
rnacentral:tRNA from 1 species